rnacentral:rRNA from 1 species
AGUGAACGCUGGCGGUAUGCCUAAUACAUGCAAGUCGAACGACAACACAGUAAGCUCUUGCUUUUACCGGUGGCGAGUGGCGGGCGAGUGACACGUACAUCACAUUCUUCUUUUUCGGGGGUGAUUACGUGGGGCCGCUUCCACUACCACCUCAUACGAUCUACCGCUUGAUUCAGUAGUUCUUCACAGCUUUGCUGUUUCAUUUAGCCGAUGUCGGAUUAGCUAGUUGGGUGGGUAAAGGCCCACCAAGGCGACGAUCCGUAGCGGGUCUGAGAGGAUGAUCAGCCACACUGGAACUGAGACACGGUCCAGACUCCUACGGGAGGCAGCAGUAGGGAAUAUUGGGCAAUGGGCGAAAGCCUGAUCCAGCAACACCGCGUGAGUGAAGAAGGCCUUCGGGUCGUAAAGCCCUGUUAUUAGGAAAGAAAAGCAGUAGGUUAAUACACGGAUGUUCUGACGGUACCUAAAGAAAAAGCACCGGCUAACUUCGUG